rnacentral:rRNA from 1 species
UGGGGAAUAUUGUACAAUGGGCGCAAGCCUGAUGCAGCCAUGCCGCGUGUGUGAAGAAGGCCUUCGGGUUGUAAAGCACUUUCAGCGAGGAGGAAGGUGGUGAGCUUAAUACGCUCAUCAAUUGACGUUACUCGCAGAAGAAGCACCGGCUAACUCCGUGCCAGCAGCCGCGGUAAUACGGAGGGUGCAAGCGUUAAUCGGAAUUACUGGGCGUAAAGCGCACGCAGGCGGUUUGUUAAGUCAGAUGUGAAAUCCCCGGGCUCAACCUGGGAACUGCAUUUGAAACUGGCAAGCUAGAGUCUCGUAGAGGGGGGUAGAAUUCCAGGUGUAGCGGUGAAAUGCGUAGAGAUCUGGAGGAAUACCGGUGGCGAAGGCGGCCCCCUGGACGAAGACUGACGCUCAGGUGCGAAAGCGUGGGGAGCAAACAGGGUUAGAUACCCUGGUAGUCCAGCGCUGUAAACGAUGUCGAUUUUGGAGGUUGUGCCCCUUGAGGCGUGGCUUCCGGAGCUAACGCGUUAAAUCGACCGCCUGGGGAGUACGGCCGCAAGGUUAAAACUCAAAUGAAUU